rnacentral:misc_RNA from 1 species
CUUGCCCCUUUCCGCCCGACGCCCUCUGUGGGCGCGGGGUGGACACCAGGCCGGCUCCGUGUUCCUGGCACGCCUCGCCCCCGUGCGUUGGCUGCCUUGGCGCAUGGUGCUGUUGCCCGUUCUCUCGGAUGCGGAACGUCGUGCGCGGGGGCCUCGGCCUCCGCUAGCUCGAGCUGUGCAUUUGUCCCUGGACACGAACGACGGUCGCGCCCGUCUUGACCCCGGGGCCCUCGGGCCGCGAGGGGCUCAUGCGGGCGUCGGCGUCGCCGAAGGAAUGCUACCUGGUUGAUCCUGCCA